rnacentral:lncRNA from 1 species
AACUGAGGGAGCCGGCUCCGGCCUCGGCCAGCCCAGAAAGGGGCUCACACAGUGCAGGGCCGGGCUGAAGGGCUCCUUAAGGGCGGCCAGAGUUGGCGCCAAGGCUGAGGAGGUGCCCAGAGCGAGCGAGGGCUGCCAGGGCUGCUAGCAGGCUGUCACCUCUCAAUAGCAGUUUUGUAUAUGGGAUCUAGCCCCUCCCUAAGAGGUUGAUUCUAAGGAAGCCAACAGCCGUGUUGUGAGUACCCAAUGGAAAGUCUGUUGUGGCAGAAAACUGAUGUCUCCAGCCAACAGCACUGAGGCCCUGAGACCUGCCAACUGUCAUGUUACAUCUCAAGGAGAAGGAUUGCCAGAUCAAAAGUCUUGCAGUUAACCAGGCGUGGUGGCAGAUACCUGUAAUCCCAGCUAUUCGGGAGGCUGAGGCAGGAGAAUCGCUUGUACCCGGGAGGCAGAGGUUGCAGUGAGCUGAGACCGCGCCAUUGACUCCUGCCUGAUGACAAGAGAGAAUCUACGUCUCAACAACAACAACACGCUUGGGCACUGUAUUAACUCCAUAAUCAUCUAAAUUUUAUUGGGAACAGCUAGUUUGACAAGCAUAGACCAGAUGUCCAGUUGUCAUUCAUUCAGCAGGAGCAGCAAGAUUCAAUCAUGUUUUUAUUAUAUUAUUUCCUGAAACUUGUGGCUGUAACAAUGAAGUUUGAGGAUUGGUCUGUGUAAGUAUGGCAGAAGUGAUGUUAAGUCGCUUAUGAGAUUAGGGUAUAAAAGACUAAGGCUUCCAUGCUUCCAUCUUGGUCUCUGUCUCUCAGAGAACAGUCAUGUGAAUGAUUCUUCUUGAAAGUAAAUCUUCCAGCCCCAGUCCAGUAUUCAAAUGAUCCAGCAACAUUGCAACUUAUGAGAGACCUUGAGCCAUCCAGGUAACAUGCUUCCAAAUCCUGACCCUUAAAACCUGUAAAAUAAUAAAUGUGGUUUUAAACUCUUAAGUAAUUUGUUACAUAGUAAUAAAUAGCUAAUACACCGUC